GAAAAAAGUUGAUUCUAACUAGUACACUUUAUUUUGUAUAGUCUUCCCUCCAACUUUUUUUACCUUCUUCUUAAACUUUAUGUGUUAGUUAUGAUCAUUUUUGUCCUCCACCAUCUUUAAACCUUUGAUCUUCUAAACUUAAUUUAACAAAUCUUCAACAUCUUCUUCUUCUUCUUUCCCCCCACUAAAUAUUCAAGUUUCAAGCACAAUACACAGAGAGAUAUAGAGAGAGAAGUCACAUUAAGAAGAACAACAUUCAAUCAGCCAAAAUGUUCUCAACUUAUCUGUUGCUGUACAAGACAAAUGAAUGCCAAAAACUGGCUGGGAAUGAAGUCGAAUUACCCAUAAUUCGAAACUCCCAUAAAAACAAAAGAAUGACACACAUCAUAGACAAUAUAAUUAAUUUUCACCAAGGUAAGCUUUUAGGCAACCUGAGAGGUGAAAACAGUAAAAAAAAGAAUAAAGGGGAUGCAGACCGUGCAUAGUUUGAUCUGAUGGAGAAGAGAAUGCUGCUUUGUUGGUAUGGCACAAAGAUGACAUUCGCGAUAUAUGGUGGAUUUUGGAAAAUGCAGAUCGUAAAAAGCCUCUCAAAAAAACUUCGGGCCUAUGUGGCUGCUUUGCUGGAAAAACCGCGGAAAAAUUCUGGAUAUUAUAACUGGCAACAGUAUUAAGGAUGGUUGUUAUCUGUUGUAAGAUGGUUCAUGUAAAAGAGUUGUUCAAAGGCCUUGCAGAAGUGCCUUUCUGCAAGGUGGUGCUUGCAAAGGAUUGCUGAUUGCGUUGUGAGAAGGAGACUCAAUUCCGAGUGUUUUCAGUAGGAAGUGCCUCUCCUGCAAAGAUAUUACAGAUUAUAAGUGGUAUGGAGAAAGGUGCUACAGAGAAUGGCUAGUCCAGACAAGUCGAAACACAUGGCUACUCAUGCAGCGUUCGUUGCAAAUUGUGAAACAAAGAUACAGAACAUAUAGAAGUGAGUAGAAUUCCAGCCAUUUCCAAGUUGACAUUGCUAGUAAAAUGGAAAGAAGCCAGUGGUGCUCAGGAUAGCCAAAAGAAGGGCAAGCAAUUAAAAUAGAGGUCAUUGUUUGACAAAGUCAUUAGGGGAGAAGGUCACACUACAAAAGGAGGAAGUGAAGAGAAUUGCAGUUGGCAAGCGAACAGAAAUCUUGCCCUGGGGAGUAGGGACUCGCAAUGUGAGUUGAAAGAAGAGUACUAAAAGGCAGAUUAUCGUGUAUUCAUGCUUCAUUCUAUAAUUUCAGUUUCGCCUUUACACUAACCUUCUUUCAACUCUUGCAGAUCAGUUCCUCCCUAAUUGUACUGCAACAGCAGUCAGAAUGUGAUAAUCUUCUUAACCCCUCAACCAAAUUGAGCAUUUGACUCCUUUUGAUCAAGUCUUUCAGAAACAACCCCGGUAUACCAACAAGUCUAGACUAUUUAGCUGGCAAGGCUGCACACUUACGGACUGUCCCAGAUCACUAGCCUAAGAAUAUGCACACAUAGCACUUAGGACCUUUUAGAUAGUAAUUAGAUAUAGAAAUGUUGAUAUUUGUUCAUCAUGUUUUCGCUUUCACAGUCUAGCUGAGUGGACGCAGUGGAUACAAACCCAAAAGUAUAGCUAGAGGAUUAAAAGCAGCCUGUGAUACAAAUUACUCUCAUCACAGAGGAUCCCGACAUAUCACUUUACCACAGGUCCGGCAGUAGUAUAGUGCUGGAACAUAUCAAAAGACACAUGAGCUGUGUUUAGCAAAUAGCAGCUUGAAUUGGUCACAGUGAAAAUUUUGUUUCAGUAACACAAGUAUCUCACCCAAGCCAAAUAGCAAAAUAUAAUGUGUGUAUACGUGUACUAAAACAGAGAAAAUACAAGAGAAGGCUUACACUUUCUGAAAACUGUGGGCUCGGUAUUGUAGAUGCUAGAGAUUUGAAUAGAGGAGUUACUUGGAUUGGGGAAUCAUACUCUGCAAUCAAUAAGCCAAAAAGACACCAGUUUGUCACUUGCACCACUAUAAUUAAUCAGUAUGGAUUUUAGAAAGUACUACAUUGAAGACUUAUUCAAACUUUAUGCAACUUAACUACCCAAAUUAGUUACAUACAGCACGAGAACAUUUUUCUACCUCCCUGAAAGUUCAAACUCGAUUACCUUGAUCUGUUAUUGCACAGGUGAGGAGCUUGUUUUCUGGCCUGUCAACGCAAACAUUAUCUGAUAUCCUUAGUGACUGUGAUACUACUCCAACAUCAUCAUGCAUUGUGGAUAUCUCAGCCUGAGAUUGUUCUCCUUGAUCACAGCCGGAAAAGUUAGUUGAUCCUGUACUGUACUCAGAGCUGCUUGGUGACUCGUAUACAUCAGGUUGCCUACAAAAGCUCAGGAUUUCGUAUAAGACAAUUUGUAUUGAUUUAUUUAACUUAAAUUGUAAAUUCCCUUUUACGUUCAUUUGAUACCUCUGUAGUUGAAUCCCCUCAUUGCUACUCCUCAAA